CUGGAUUUUGAUGUAAUUUCUUCUGAUGUAGCUGGCAGGUGGCGGAGGUGUAUUUGAAUGUCGGCAGCACACUAACAGCGAUUAGGAUGUCCUCCGUCUGCCAGUCUUCUUUGAUCCUUGAAUUCUGUGGAGCUCAAAUAGACAACAAAGCUUCAUGGAACUAGUUAAGUGUUAGCAUAAAUAUCUUGCCUUUAUCAUGUUGAGCCUCCUCAAUAAAUGUUACUCUCUUUGGUAGGAUCACAAUCUUAUUUUUAUAUUUUCAUUUUUAAAGAGCAGAAAAAAUAUUUAUUUUAUUUUUAUGCCACCAUAGUGAAUGUACUUAUGUGUUUUAUGCCACUGGUAUACUCAUAUGGGGCUUACUGUUUUUUAGCAUUUUUAUUUUCUUUUCAAGAUAGUAUGGACCCGAUUAACUAAACAAGUUAUUUAAGGAAAAUAAAUAAUUUGAAGGGAAAAUGACAACUACCAAGUUUACCUCUUGUGUUUGAAGGCGUUCAGUGUUUUUAAGUCCUCCGAACGGGACUCCUUGUGUUUUCAGUCGUCCUAGGAUUCCGGCGGCGCCUCCUCUUCUUGUACAACUGUCUUCUCUAUCCACACUUGAUUUGGUGCUACGAUCUCCUCUAGACAAUCCUGUUCAAGAUGUAUAUCUUUGGACCUUAUUACAUCUCCUUUUUAGUCUGCCCAUCCGUCCUUGAUGAUUUGCCUCCUCUGGUUUUCGUUGCGUCGCCUUCUUCUCAUCCCAAUCUGCUUAGAAUCUUCAACUAUAUAGUUAGAAUCAUUAAAGUAGCCGCGUACCUAUUGGCGGUUCUUAAUGACAUAUUUACCCCGCCAACAUAGUCCAUGCAAAGGAAGAAAAUCAUAUAUUUUACUCACAUAUACUUAUCAAAUGCUUACCAAGUUCCACAUGUAGUGCAAGUUGUGUUUUGCAGAUCAUAUACAGGCAUACAGGUGGAAAGCAAAUAAAAAGGCGCAAUCCGACACGUCAAAAAUGCGCAAAUAAACAAGUACCCAAAAGUCCAAUAUAGAAGUGCAUCAAUUUGCCGGU
rnacentral:lncRNA from 1 species